UACAGAGGUGGCAAGCGUUGUUCGGAAUUACUGGGCGUAAAGGGCGCGUAGGCGGUCUUUUAAGUUCCGUGUGAAAUCCCUCGGCUCAACUGGGGAACGGCACGGGAAACUGGGAGGCUUGAGUUCGGGAGAGGGAAGCGGAAUUCCGGGUGUAGCGGUGAAAUGCGUAGAUAUCCGGAGGAGCACCGGUGGCGAAGGCGGCUUCCUGGACCGACACUGACGCUGAGGCGCGAAAGCUAGGGGAGCAAACGGG
rnacentral:rRNA from 1 species